UCGCACUCGUGUGCGGCCAACCGUCUUGGUGCUGUCUUUUCACUCUCCCACCCCUCGUAAUGGGGUGCUUGUUUUCGGUGCCUGUGCGGUUCUACCCUCGAGGGAUUCGUCUUGCUCAUGAUCGAGUCUUGCUUGCCCCGUCGAGAAUUUUUUCUCGUCGGGGCAGUCGGAAUGUCGGCUAGCCCAGCAUGCGGUGGCGGCGUCAUGCCGCACCCCGCACGCCGGUGCUUGCCGGUGCUCUCGGAUGUCGGUGCGAAAUACGGCGCAGGUCCUGCACGGACCCUGUUCGCCUUGUGGCGUCCCUUGUUUGGAAUUGUGCCGUGCGCGCUCCGCUGUCUGAGUCGUGGAUCCCUUCGGUUCUACACACCGGACAUCGGUGCGGCGGGCGUAGCUUCUGUGCGAGCGAGACGCGACUCGUUGAAUUUGCGAUUGUCGGUCCACGAAUAUCGUACGGCCACCCUAGCCGGUGUUCCGGGAUUUCGUGUCGGCUCUCGUAGAGGAUGUGCUACCUGGUUGAUCCUGC
rnacentral:misc_RNA from 1 species